AUUUUUUUAGCUUCUAUUCUUUAGAAGCAAGAAAUGAUGCAAACAAUACAAGCGUUUCUUUCCUGCUCCAAUAAUUAUGCAGAAUGUGUUCAGUAAUUCAGCAUCCUAAUUGCCUCAACAAUGUUACCUCCCUUCUCUGAGAGACAAUUGCUAAAAUAGUGCCAAGCUCAGUCAUGCCAGUAAUCACAAAAUGAACUUUCAGCAAGCUUCAGCACUCAAUC
rnacentral:lncRNA from 1 species